rnacentral:rRNA from 1 species
AACGAACGCUGGCGGCAGGCUUAACACAUGCAAGUCGAGCGCCCCGCAAGGGGAGCGGCAGACGGGUGAGUAACGCGUGGGAAUCUACCCAUCUCUACGGAAUAACGCAUGGAAACGUGUGCUAAUACCGUAUACGUCCUUCGGGAGAAAGAUUUAUCGGAGAUGGAUGAGCCCGCGUUGGAUUAGCUAGUUGGUGGGGUAAAGGCCUACCAAGGCGACGAUCCAUAGCUGGUCUGAGAGGAUGAUCAGCCACACUGGGACUGAGACACGGCCCAGACUCCUACGGGAGGCAGCAGUGGGGAAUAUUGGACAAUGGGCGCAAGCCUGAUCCAGCCAUGCCGCGUGAGUGAUGAAGGCCUUAGGGUUGUAAAGCUCUUUCACCGGAGAAGAUAAUGACGGUAUCCGGAGAAGAAGCCCCGGCUAACUUCGUGCCAGCAGCCGCAGUAACAC